AUUGAACGCUGGCGGAAUGCUUUACACAUGCAAGUCGAACGGCAGCACGGGUGCUUGCACCUGGUGGCGAGUGGCGAACGGGUGAGUAAUGCACCGGAACGUAUCCAAUAAUGGGGGAUAACGCACCGAAAGGUGUGCUAAUACCGCAUAAGAACUGAGGUUGAAAGCGGCGGACCGCAAGGCGUCGCGCGAUUGGAUGAACCGAUGUCCGAUUAGCUAGUUGGCGGGGUAAAGGCCCACCAAGGCGACGAUCGGUAGCUGGUCUGAGAGGACGACCAGCCACACUGGAACUGAGACACGGUCCAGACUCCUACGGGAGGCAGCAGUGGGGAAUAUUGGACAAUGGGCGCAAGCCUGAUCCAGCCAUGACCGCGUGGGUGAAGAAGGCCUCGGUUGUAAGCCUUGUCGG
rnacentral:rRNA from 1 species